AUGGCUCAGGAUGAACGCUGGCGGCGUGCCUAACACAUGCAAGUCGAACGAAGAAAUUGUAGCAAUACGGUUCUUAGUGGCGGACGGGUGAGUAACACGUAGGUGACCUGCCCCGAAGUGUGGAAUAACAGUCCGAAAGGAUUGCUAAUACCGCAUGUGGUCUGUGAGGUUAGAGUCUUGCAGACUAAAGCAGUAAUGUGCUUCGGGAGGGGCCUGCGCCCCAUCAGCUAGUUGGUAGGGUAAUGGCCUACCAAGGCAACAACGGUAGGGGGCCUGAGAGGGUGACCCCCACAUUGGCACUGACACACGGGCCAAACUCCUACGGGAGGCAGCAGUGAGGAAUAUUGCUCAAUGGGCGAAAGCCUGAAGCAGCAACGCCGCGUGCGCGAUGAAGGCCUUCGGGUCGUAAAGCGCUUUUGAGAGGGACGAGAUAGGACGGUACCUCUGGAAUAAGUCACGGCUAACUACGUGCCAGCAGCAGC
rnacentral:rRNA from 1 species